AUCAACAAUAAAUAAAUUUUACUUGAAUCAUUUUUUUAUCAUGUAUAAAGAUUAACCUGCAAAAAAAAAUGUAAAAUAUAAACUCGAUAAAAAUUUGUAAAGAGGAGUCGAAACAAAAAUAUAAAGUACUCAGGAUAAAACCUUUAUAUCACGUGGUCAAGGCUAUUCUCGAUCUCGACAGAAAUACAAACAUUAUAUCGUCGGUCUAGAAUUGGAGUGCUCCAUUUGCAAAAUUUUUAAAACUGGGGAAAACGAUUUUAAAGUUUAGAUUCAAAUAUAGGAAAAAUUUAUAGAUUAAUAGAAAUAAAAAAGAGAGAUGUAAUUUGUUAUACUAUU